rnacentral:rRNA from 1 species
CACGGUCCAGACUCCUACGGGAGGCAGCAGUGAGGAAUAUUGGGCAAUGGAGGCAACUCUGACCCAGCCAUGCCGCGUGAGUGAGAAGGUUUUCGAAUUGUAAAGCUCUUUCGGGUGUGAAGAUGAUGACGGUAACACCAGAAGAAGCCCCGGCAAACUUCGUGCCAGCAGCCGCGGUAAUACGAAGGGGGCGAGCGUUGUUCGGAAUUACUGGGCGUAAAGGGUGUGUAGGCGGUUAAGUAAGAUAGUGGUGAAAUGCCGGGGCUCAACCUCGGAAUUGCCAUUAUGACUAUUUAGCUAGAAUGAUGCAGAGGAUAGCGGAAUUCCCAGUGUAGCGGUGAAAUGCGUAGAUAUUGGGUAGAACACCAGUGGCGAAGGCGGCUAUCUGGGCAUUGACUGACGCUGAGGCACGAAAGCAUGGGGAUCAAACAGGAUUAGAUACCCUGGUAGUCCAUGCUGUAAACGAUGAAUGCUAGUUGUUGGAGGAAUUCAGUGACGCAGUUAACACAAUAAGCAUUCCGCCUGGGGAGUACGGUCGCAAGAUUAAAACUCAAAGGAAUUGACGGGGACCCGCACAAGCGGUGGAGCAUGUGGUUUAAUUCGAUGCAACGCGAAGAACCUUACCAACUCUUGACAUCCUCAUUAGGGAGGGGAGAGAUUCCCUCUUUCAGUUAGGCUGGGUGAGUGACAGAUGCUGCAUGGCUGUCGUCAGCUCGUGUCGUGAGAUGUUGGGUUAAGUCCCGCAACGAGCGCAACCCCUGCUAUCAGUUGCCAGCAGGUAGAGCUGGGCACUCUGAUAGGACUGCCGGGGACAAGCCGGAGGAAGGUGGGGAUGACGUCAAAUCAUCAUGCCCCUUAUGAGUUGGGCUACACACGUGCUACAAUGGCAGCUACAGAGAGGAGCGAAGCUGUGAAGCGGAGCCAAUCUUAAAAAGCUGUCUCAGUUCGGAUUGUUCUCUGCAACUCGAGAACAUGAAGUUGGAAUCGCUAGUAAUCGCGGAUCAGCAUGCCGCG